rnacentral:tRNA from 1 species
GGAUCGGUCGUCUAGCCUGGUUUGGAUGACGCACUCACACUGCGUAAGGGCGCCAAGCCCCGCAAGGGUCGUGGGUCCGAAUCCCACCCGAUCCA